UACUCCUACGGGAGGCAGCAGUGGGGAAUCUUGCGCAAUGGGGGAAACCCUGACGCAGCGACGCCGCGUGCGGGAUGAAGGCCUUCGGGUUGUAAACCGCUUUCAGCAGGGACGAAAUUGACGGUACCUGCAGAAGAAGGCCCGGCCAACUACGUGCCAGCAGCCGCGGUAAUACGUAGGGGCCUAGCGUUGUCCGGAAUUAUUGGGCGUAAAGAGCUCGUAGGCGGUUCAGCAAGUCGGAUGUGAAAUCUCCACGCUUAACGUGGAGGGGCCAUUCGAAACUGCUGUGACUCGAGUCCGGUAGGGGAGUGUGGAAUUCCCGGUGUAGCGGUGAAAUGCGCAGAUAUCGGGAGGAACACCAGUAGCGAAGGCGGCACUCUGGGCCGGUACUGACGCUGAGGAGCGAAAGCGUGGGGAGCGAACAGGAUUAGAUACCCUGGUAGUCCACGCCGUAAACGUUGGGCACUAGGUGUGGGACUCUAUCGACGGGUUCCGUGCCGUAGCUAACGCAUUAAGUGCCCCGCCUGGGGAGUACGGCCGCAAGGCUAAAACUCAAAUGAAUUGACGG
rnacentral:rRNA from 1 species